GCAUUCUUUUUGAAAUCAGCUUUCCCUGCCACCACCUCAGACUACAUCCGCGAUUUUCUCAUGAAAGAACUAAAGCUUGAAAACCAUGGGGUCACUGAGAGAAGGAGCCUGAAGAGAGAAAAGGAUGAAGGACCCAAAAAAGACUAACAUUUAACAGAUGGGAUGUGAAACAGAACCAGGACAUCAUUUUCAUUUCCUCCAGAGGAUGCGGCUAUAAAACGCCAUCUUGGAAGCGAGACUGGGCUCUCAGCAGACACCAAACCUUCAUCUGGGACUUCCCAGCC
rnacentral:lncRNA from 1 species